rnacentral:rRNA from 1 species
AGAGUUUGAUUCUGGCUCAGGAUGAACGCUGGCGGCGUGCUUAACACAUGCAAGUCGAACGAAGCACUUGAAACAGAUUCUUCGGAUGAAGUUUCCUGUGACUGAGUGGCGGACGGGUGAGUAACGCGUGGGUAACCUGCCUCAUACAGGGGGAUAACAGUUAGAAAUGGCUGCUAAUACCGCAUAAGCGCACGGCAUCGCAUGAUGCAGUGUGAAAAACUCCGGUGGUAUGAGAUGGACCCGCGUUGGAUUAGCUAGUUGGCAGGGUAACGGCCUACCAAGGCGACGAUCCAUAGCCGGCCUGAGAGGGUGGACGGCCACAUUGGGACUGAGACACGGCCCAG